rfam:TPA: Bos taurus chromosome 16, whole genome shotgun sequence.
UCCCAAGUGGCUCAGUGGGAAAGAAUCUGCAUGCAAUGCAGGAGACUCAGGUUUGAUCCCUGAGUUGGGGA